rnacentral:rRNA from 1 species
UUAGAGUUUGAUCAUGGCUCAGAGCGAACGCUGGCGGCAGGCUUAACACAUGCAAGUCGAACGGGCACUUCGGUGCUAGUGGCAGACGGGUGAGUAACACGUGGGAACGUACCUUUCGGUUCGGAAUAAUUCAGGGAAACUUGGACUAAUACCGGAUACGCCCUUCGGGGGAAAGAUUUAUCGCCGAAAGAUCGGCCCGCGUCUGAUUAGCUAGUUGGUGAGGUAAAGGCUCACCAAGGCGACGAUCAGUAGCUGGUCUGAGAGGAUGAUCAGCCACAUUGGGACUGAGACACGGCCCAAACUCCUACGGGAGGCAGCAGUGGGGAAUAUUGGACAAUGGGCGCAAGCCUGAUCCAGCCAUGCCGCGUGAGUGAUGAAGGCCUUAGGGUUGUAAAGCUCUUUUGUCCGGGAAGAUAAUGACUGUACCGGAAGAAUAAGCCCCGGCUAACUUCGUGCCAGCAGCCGCGGUACGCCC